GUGCAAAUUUCAUUGAUUUUCUUUCUUUUUUUUUUUAAAGAAAAGAUACUUCUCAUAUGCUAAAUAAAUUUUGGAAGUAAAUUAACAUAAUUAAUAGCCAUUGUUCCUUCAGAAGAGC
rnacentral:snoRNA from 1 species